AAUCUUAUACCUAUCAAAACCGA
rnacentral:snRNA from 1 species